GAAGUAAAAAUUACACUAAAGCAUUAUUUUUUAAUCUCUUUCGCGUUCUUUUCUUUACAGUUCACAACCACCGACAAAACCACUCCCAAGUUCCAUCGCAUCUCCUUCCUCUACACUUCAUCUUCUUCCUCGAUCUCAAUCGCAAUCUGAGCAUUCUCCAGAUUCGGAUUCUCCUCUCAAUUUUGAUCUGAAUCAUGCAUAGUAAUUUCUCGCCUCUGGUUCAUCCUCUCAUUGCCUGCACUGUCAUUGCGCCGUCUUCUUCUCGCCUGCGCCAUCAUAUUCUCCCUGCGUAGUCAUCUUCUCGCCGGUUCCAUCGUUUGCUCAUCCCUUAUCUUCUUGCUCCUUCAAUCCUCUUUAAUCUUUACUUGAUAAUUAAUCUGUAAUUAAUUUUGAUGUAUAAUUAUUAGUUAAUUUAGGUUUUUAAUUAGUUAUUUAGUAGUUAGGUUUUGAAUUUAGGUUUUAAUUAAGUUGUUUAUUUGAGUUUAGGUUUUAAUUAUUCUGUUCUUUGCUUUAGGGAUUGUUUGGGUGAGCUUUUAAAAAAAGAUCUUUUUUCGAGUUAUCUUUUUUUAAAAGAUUUUAUAGAGAAGUAAAAGUAAUUUUAUGUUUGGAUAUCUCAUGUAAAAAGGUAUUUUUAUCUAUUAAUUAUGUUUGGGUAUAACAAUAUAAAAGUACUUUUUUGUUCAUUUAUUACAUGAAAAAUAUCUUUUUUUAAGAAAAAAAAAAUCUUUUAAAAAAGAUGUAAAUUACAGCUUCUCAAAAAAGAUCUUUUUUUUUUAUUUUACUAGUGCUUUUACUUUUACUACUAGAAAUUUGCCAAACACAUUAAAAAAUAAAAAAGAUCUUUUUUCAUUGAAAGAAGAUCUUUUUUUUAAUAAAAUAAUGGCGCUCAAACAUGCACUUACAUUGAGCUGAAAUCCUGCACAUUACUAAUAUGAUUAUUGUCGUUUUAAUAUUUGGAUAAUGUGGUAGCAAUUAUGAGUUCAAUUAAGGAAUGUUCAUUUCUAUACUUGUUUCUGAAAUAUCUCCUUGUAAAUUUACGUGAUAUUUUCUGUGUAAUUAAUCAAAUUAAACUUAAUUAAACAUGCUCAAAAUAUAGAAUAUCUAAUGAAGAUAAAUAAUGCUUAUUACUAGAGUCUGAAGAUCAAUUUUCUUGAAGAUAAUAGCUGAGAAGUGGACAUGGAUUAUAGCCUUGCCACGCCACUUAGAAGAAGAAGACAUGGAGAUAGGUGGUGUGACUUUUCAGUACCAAGAACACAAACUAGAAAGGGAAAUGGAUCUUUUCUAUUUUUUUUGUCACUGGAGAGAAUAAAAUGUGAUCUCUCACCUUUAAUUCUACAAGUGAGACCAUAAAUAAAUGAAAGAGAGAGAACAAUGAAGAAUGAGAUUUUCUACUGAAUACCAUCCAAUUUUUUUUCCACUGGAGAGAAUCCACUCCCACUAGAAAGUGUAUCUAAGUAGUGAAAUUAAUGGGUGUUAAGACUACUAUAUCUAUAUUUAUUUAUGAUGCUUAGUUACAACUCAAGUGUCAUGAUUACAUCUCCAAAUGGUUGAAUUCCCAAGGACUAUAUAGCAAGGAAAAUCAGUUAGAAUCUUACAAACGCUAUUUAAUGUCAAUUUUCUUUUGCUUCUAAAGGAAUGCAGCUAGUGCUACCACUUCUUAGUUCUUACAAGAAUAAUAACUCAAGGGUUAUUGUUUAGCACUUCCCUUGGUCCUCUCAUGAAAAGUCCUUUUUCAAUAUGGUUUUUUCCUUUUCUUUUUCUAGAUUUAGUGUUAUGUUUCUAUUAUUUUUUCAAUUUAGUCUCAGUUCAUAAUUUAUGGAAAAUGUUUUAUUUGUUUUUUUUGUUAUAUUUUUUGCAGUUAGGGUGCAAAAAUUAUUUUUUUAUCUUUUAAAUUUUAAUUUUCAGAUUUCACAUAUUAUUUGCAUUAGAUAAUGUAAUUAACAAGUAUAGGCAUAAAUUAGUGAAGUGCUUGAAUAGGCUCCUUUGUAUUAGUGAUGAGCAUAAAUUGAUUCAAGCAUUUUAUAGGAGAAAAGUUACAUUAUUAUUUGCCUUUAUACUCAUCAUUUAUGGCACAGUUUAUUAUGUUUCACAUUAGUGUAUAGAUUAGCAUCUGAUGAACCAAGUAAAUAAUUGGUUGACAAUGACAUACAAUUUCUUGUACUGAAUGUUAUAUUUGUUAGCUUUGGGGGCAAAGGUAGCACCUAGUAUGCCGUUAAGGGAUCACACAGAAUUUUCACAGGAGCUUCUCCACGAGUUGAAACUCAUCUGUCAGCUGCAUCUGUGUGACUAUCAAAGACACAAGGAUGUCUUGAGCUGUUGGUCGCUUUGGAGCUGCAUCUAUUUUGAGUUCAAAAUGUCUUAAGAUUGAGGGUUCAUUUUUCUGAUGCGUGAUUUGCAGGAGUCAAGCAAGUACCAGUACCAUGAGCAACUUUGGGAUUCUCCUUUCAGCCAUGCCUUACCCAGCUGUCUCAAGCCAAGACAUUGUCUCUCCUAGCAGUGCAGAAAUCAUCAGACAUAUCUCCUCUAUUUUUUACUGGUGUGUUGGAGGCUAUGGUAGCUGCCUUGUUUAUGAAUAUUUAUAUUGUUGGAUUGAAUCAAUUGUCGGAUAUUGAAAUAGACAAGAUAAACAAGCCAUAUCUUCCAUUGGCAUCUGGUGAAUAUUCCGUUGGAACUGGUGUCACAAUUGUUGCAUCAUUUUCAUUUCUGGUUCAUGGCCAUUGUUUUGGGCUCUUUUCAUCAGUUUUGUGCUUGGAACUGCUUAUUCAAUUGAUAAAUUUGUUCUGCAGAAAUUGGUGGUAUUUCCUCUCAAACUUCAGAAUUUAUGGCUUUUGAACAAUUAUAUGGGAACUGUUUGGAUAAGAGGUGAAUGGUUGAAAAGUUGAAACUUUACUUGGGAUUUUGGACCACCUGCAGAGAUGAACUUGGUUGACUGGUUUAAGGGAAUGGUAAUAAGUUGUCGCAGUGAUGAGCUAGUCAAGCAGAUAAAUACAUUUUUCUAGGAUUAGUAUAAAGACUAAGUUUUUUAUGUAGAUAGUAUCACUUUUUCUUUUCUUUUUUAUAUGGAAUGUUUAUAGAGUUUAAGUGUUAUAAGUAUUUUUUUUCCAUUUUAUUUGCAUCACGAAGCAAAUUUGUACAAUGAUUAUUGAUUAAUGAAAGAGGCUAUAAAUUUUUUUUUGUGAA